rnacentral:misc_RNA from 1 species
GAUGAAGAACGCAGCGAAAUGCGAUAAGUAAUGUGAAUUGCAGAAUUCCGUGAAUCAUCGAAUCUUUGAACGCACAUUGCGCCCCCUGGUAUUCCGGGGGGCAUGCCUGUCCGAGCGUCAUUGCAACCCUCAAGCGCGGCUUGUGUGUUGGGCUUCGUCCCCCCGUGGACGUGCCCGAAAGGCAGUGGCGGCGUCCCGAAUGGUGCCCGAGCGUAUGGGAACUCUCUUCCGCUCGAACCGGCCCAUUCGGCGCUGGUCGAACCCCAAUUUUUUUUUUACCGGUUGACCUCGGAUCAGGUAGGGAUACCCGCUGAACUUAAGCAUAUCAAUAAGCGGAGGA